rnacentral:rRNA from 1 species
CCUACGGGAGGCAGCAGUGAGGAAUAUUUGUCAAUGGGCGCGAGCCUGAACCUGCCAAGUAGCGUGAAGGAUGACUGCCCUACGGGUUGUAAACUUCUUUUAUAAAGGAAUAAAGUGAAGCACUGGUGCCUUUUGGUAUGUACUUUAUUAAUAAUGAUCGGCUAACUCCGUGCCAGCAGCCGCGGUAAUACGGAGGAUCCGAGCGUUAUCCGGAUUUGUUGGGAUUAAGGGGUGCGUAGAUGGGUUGUUAAGUCAGUUGUGAAAGUUUGCGGCUCAACCGUAAAAUUGCAAUUGAUACUGGCAGACUUGAGUACAGUUGAGGUAGGCGGAAUUCGUGGUGUAGCAGUGAAAUGCGUAGAUAUCACGAAGAACUCCGAUUGCGAAGGCAGCUUACUAAACAGCCACUGACAUUGAUGCUCGAAAGUGUGGGUAUCAAACGGGAUUAGAUACCCGGGUAGUC